rnacentral:rRNA from 1 species
GACGAACGCUGGCGGCGUGCCUAACACAUGCAAGUCGCACGGGACUGGGGGCAACUCCAGUUCAGUGGCAGAUGGGUGCGUAACACGUGAGGAACUUGUCCGACGGCGGGGGAUAGCCGGCCCAACGGCCGGGUAAUACCGCGUACGCUCAUUUGGGGACAUCCCUGGGUGAGGAAAGCAGCCGCAAGGUUGCGCCGAUGGAGAGCCUCGCGGCGUAUCAGCUAGUUGGCGGGGUAACGGCCCACCAAGGCUACGACGCGUAGCUGGUCU